rnacentral:misc_RNA from 1 species
GAUGAAGAACGUAGCGAAAUGCGAUAAGUAAUGUGAAUUGCAGAAUUCCGUGAAUCAUCGAAUCUUUGAACGCACAUUGCGCCCCCUGGCAUUCCGGGGGGCAUGCCUGUCCGAGCGUCAUUUCUGCCCUCAAGCACGGCUUGUGCGUUGGGUGUGGUCCCCCCGGGGACCUGCCCGAAAGGCAGCGGCGACGUCCGUCUGGUCCUCGAGCGUAUGGGGCUCUGUCACUCGCUCGGGAAGGACCUGCGGGGGUUGGUCACCACUAUAUUUUACCACGGUUGACCUCGGAUCAGGUAGGAGUUACCCGCUGAACUUAAGCAUAUCAAUAAGCGGAGGA